rnacentral:piRNA from 1 species
UAGCAAUCCUAUAUAAACUGA